GGGAGCAGAUCACUCCCAGGUGAUAGUGUUUAUUUUAUAAGCCACUCUAUUAUUUGGUGGAAAGACGACCUACAGAAAUAGCUUCAAAUCCAAGUUCAAAGGUUAUCUUAUGGCAAUAUUCUUGGCGAUUCCUCCAGUCUCUAUAGGUCCAGUAGAUCUGGCUUUUUUUUUUUUUUUUAGGAAUUUGGGUUUUGUUCUACAUUUCCUCUCCUCCUACUCAGGACCUUCUAUUGUAUCCCUGGUUAGAUCAGUUAGUAGCGGUAGCCAGACACCAUCUAGUUCUUCUGGUCUCAGGUGAGAGGAAGCUGUGGUUUGGGCUAUUUAGUCCCGUGGACUAGUUUCUUCUUUGAGCCUUUGAUUUCCUUCAUUCUGUUUUGCUUCAUACAAGUAGAGACCAAUAGUUGUAUCUUAGAUGGCUGCUCACAAGCUUUUAAAACCCCCGACACUACUCACCAAUCUAGGAUGUAGAAUAUUACCAUUGUCAACUAUGUUAUGCCAAUUGACCAAGUUGUCCCGAGAUAUUUAUAUUCUUUUAUUAUUUUUUGUACUAAGGGCAGGGAUGGAUCUUAUUCCUACAUCUUCUGAUAUUAGAGAUAUGGUCCUCAAUAAACGUGUGGAAUGAAUUUACAUCCCGGGUAGGUGCUUUGAAUUUAUGUUGAUAAUUUAAGAAUGAUGGUGAAGAUUACAUACAUGUAAACACACACACUUGAUUCUCUAUCACUUCUUCAUAUAUAACUCUUUAACUAUAGAAGUUUCUCCCAUUCAGAUUGACUCCAAGCUGAAUUAUUAAGAACCUUCUGAUCUUUGCCACAUCCUUCAGCCUUCUUGCUACUACCAGAGCAUCAAGCACAAUACUGUGCAAAUGCUGAUUGAAUAAAUGAGCAAGAAUAACCGGGGCAGAUGACAGCAUUUCAGUAACAAUGAAGUUUCAGGUUCUGGUGAUGGCAAAACAACUUCUGGAAUGACUGAAGGAAAAACCAUAGGAAACAAGAAAAAAGGGAAGAGCUAAUACAUAAGAAGGCGUGUUAUUUCAGCAUGUUUUAAUAUUUAAAAUGAAACUGAGUACAGACACCCAAAUGGCCUAAUUCUAUAGUAAAUGUGGAAACAUAAGAACCCCUUUCAGGUAGCACUUUGGGGACAUGCCUCCCUUCCAUGGCUGCCUUUACAGAUGACCUGUAAAGAACACUGAACACAAAGAACUGAGGAAUUUGACUUUGUACUCUUUGGCCAUGAUCCCAGAAUGCACACUCAUCUACAAAACUGGAGGUGAACAAACAGAAUUUGGCUUUUUGGUUCUAUAAAUCCAUUAAUUCAGUCAAAUUUCUAGUCAAAAACUGGAAUACUAUUUUUUUAAGAAGUUAUCUAGAAAUACGGUAAGAAGCUACCUGGAUUUCGUACUCAUUUAUUCAACAAAUAUAUAUUGAAGGUCUAUUGUGUGUUACUGGGGUUAUAAGGAUGAAGACAAGGUCCCUGCUUUCCAGGAGUGAGGAUGGCAGACAUUAAAGCAAUGAAUGCCAAGCGGCUACUUUUAUCACAGCUGUCAAGGUAAGUGCUACGAAGGAGAAUCCUCUUCCGUAUUCUCACUUUGUGUGACCACGGCAGCACGAUGCUGGCUGGGCCCGGCCAGGAGGGCAUUACGCAGGAUGGAAUGAGAACCUGUGAUGGACCAUGACAACUCAGAGAGCAUCUGGGAAGGCUUUGAGGUACCUCCAACUUUCCAGGAACUAAAAGAAAAGCAGAGCACAACGAGCAAGGGGAGAGCAGGCUGAAGUGCCACAAUGAUUUUAGACUUUACCCUAAAGGUUCACCAGAUCACACAAGAGCUUUUAAGGUCACACUAGGAUGUGGGUUUUGGAGUUGGAAGAGAUUUAGUGGUUCAUUAGUUUAGGUCCUUUAUUGGGUUUAAAAAAUCAGGCCACAGGUAAUUCAGUAAAUUAGUAUCUGGAUGUGAUUUAGGGAAUUCCUUUGGUACAAAACAUGAACAGUUUUAGGUUGUUCUGUUUUGAAAGUGGAGCUCGUGAAUAUAUUCACUAACUGAGCAUCAUCUACGUACAAAGCAAUGCCCUUUGCACAUGACUUACUUCCCCCUGAAAGCCAAGGCCUUUGUAAACUGACAGGGAAAGGGGAAGUGUGACUGUACAGGGCACAGGCAUGACUGGCAAAGGUGCUAUUUUAGAGGGGAAAUACAGGUUUUUGAGAGCCUUUAGCAGCUUUCUAGGAAUACCCUCACUGCCCUCUCCACCUGAUAACUAACACAUUUCAACGCAGGCCCACUCUUGUCAACUGCAGGCACUAACUCCAUGGGAUGAGGUUUAACUGUAUCUAUAAUUGGGAUGUGGAAGGGAUGUGGAAGGGUAUACAACCAGUGGUGUCUCAAGUAAGAUAAUGAAUAUGAAGAGCUAAUAAAUACAGAAGCUACAGUUUAUUCAGAAUGAAGGAUAUUCUGAAAUACCACAAAGUCAAACCCUGAGAAUCAGCUGAGCCAUAAAUUUUGCUUUACCAUGGAAUUUAAAUAAUUCCUCUGUAAUUAAAAAAAAAAAAAAAAACAGAAAA